rfam:Brachypodium distachyon strain Bd21 chromosome 5, whole genome shotgun sequence.
UUGCUUCUCCCUCCGUCCAACAAAAGAUGUCUCAAGUUUGUCAAAAUUUGGAUGUAUCUAGACAUGACUUAGUGUAUAGAUGCAUUCAAAUUUAGUGAAAGUUGAAACAUCCUUUAUUGGAUGGAGGGAGUACUUU